rnacentral:rRNA from 1 species
GGGGAAUUUUCCGCAAUGGGCGCAAGCCUGACGGAGCAACGCCGCGUGAGGGAGGAGUGUCUGUGGAUUGUAAACCUCUUUUCUCUAGGAAGAAGAUCUGACGGUACUAGAGGAAUCAGCAUCGGCUAACUCCGUGCCAGCAGCCGCGGUAAGACGGAGGAUGCAAGCGUUAUCCGGAAUUAUUGGGCGUAAAGCGUCCGUAGGCGGCUAAUUAAGUCAGUUGUUAAAGACUGCAGCUCAACUGUGGGAGAGCAACUGAAACUGGUUGGCUAGAGUAUGGUAGGGGUAGAGGGAAUUCCUAGUGUAGCGGUGAAAUGCGUAGAUAUUAGGAAGAACACCAGUGGCGAAGGCGCUCUACUGGGCCAUAACUGACGCUGAUGGACGAAAGCUAGGGGAGCGAAAGGGAUUAGAUACCCCUGUAGUCA